UGAUUCCAUUUCAAACUUGCCAACACACGUUCACUCCAAUGCCAUCAGCUGUGGGAAUGGGUCUGAGUGGCAGUGGGCACCAACAGACGUGGGGAGGGCACAGACUCCCUGCUCGGUGAUCCUGGGUAGCUGCCCCUGUCCUUACAGACACCCUCAGAGAUAACCAGGUUUAUCAAUAUUGACCUAAAAAUCUCUUGCUAAAUGUGGUUAAAAGAUUUUCUUUUUUUUAAAUCAUAACUCUUCUAGUUCAUCAUUUAAGUCAGCUGCUUGUUUCCAAGGGGAACUAACAUGGGGAUAGUUCGGGAACACGGAGGGAACCUACAAAUGAGCCGAACAGCUGCCUUGCCCCGGGCGUGGGGCCUCCCCUCACCAGACGGGAUUCAGCUCACGCCCACAGCCAGGACUCGCUGGCACUGCCGGCAGACCGCUACCGUCCGCAGGCUCCACGCAGGCUAAUCUAGAACCCCGCAGUCCAGAAAGGUGACCACAGUCUAAACAGUACAGUUUCCAAGGAAGCACUGAAUGUUACCUACAGAGCCCAGGUGUCAGCUGAAAAGUGAUGGACGAAAAGGGGAUUAAGUGAAGGUAACAGACUCCUCUAGACUUAAUUACUGUCCACCACCAACAGGGCAUGUCAGGAGUCUGGGUGAAUUUGGGGUAGAGUUCAAAAGAGUUCCCACCUUUCUCUAUGGUGAUGUAAAAUGAGUGCAUAAAUAUACGUGGGGGGGUGUAAGACAAGGAGAGGGCUGACAGAUGGCAGGAGUCUGUCUGCCAGGAGAUCUGCAUUUGAACCCUUGGCUGUAGAGGAUAAGGACGACUAUGGAAAGGUCUCAGUAAAACGAAGAUUUUAGCUGUGCUUCAUAAAAUGUUGCUUUUGCAUUUGUCUUCCUCAAACAAGCAAUACUGAUUUAAUAGCUCAUAAUCUUCCAAUCUAUUCAAAGGGCAGACCGUACCUCCGACACAGCUAAGCAGAGCAGAAUCCCCACCCCCCGCCGUCCCUGUGUCGAGCUUCGAUGACCCCCAGGUAGAGCUCACCUGGAAGACGAUUCUGAACCACUGCGCGUUUCCAUAGGUACCGACAAGCCGCCUACAGCAGAGGAGGUACAAUCCACCCUCAGGAGAUUCUCCAGCAAACUGCUCGACCUCAGAAGCGCCAGAAGUCAGGGAGAAAAAGUUAAGUGUUUCUUCUUCUGUGAAGCCAUUUCUGAAGAAGAGCCUCUAAAAUCUUACCAACCCACAGCCAGGUCUGCUGAUGUGGGACUCUACACGGACCACCGACUAACAGCUCACACGGGAGCUGACCUAGCGGAGCAGAGCGGAGGCUACCAAUCACAGCAGUAAAAGUGUGCCUUCGUAGCUGUUGCCAGCAGCCGGAAGGGCCUGGGAGAUCACAGUGACCAUGACUCACAUUGGACAGACAGAACACUGAGGCCUGGAAGACAACAUCCUUAUCUGACAUCCAAGAUCCUGGCAAAGCUUUCCUGCACUUCCUAAGAUGCAAAAUCCUCUUACCACUGGCCGUCACCACUCAGCUUGGGAUGGACCAGAAGAACCCACACCACCUUCUGUCCCCUCACUAACACGUUGAUUCAUUCAUCUGAGUCUCAGGCUAAGUUCUAAGGCCUUGAAAAUUUAAGGACACAAUGUUUGAUUCCUCAGAACUUUCUAGAAAGUCCAGUUUAAUAACGGUAACACCUAUGUUAAGUCAUGGGGUGAGAACCUGGGAAGACUUCAGAGGUAGCUUUUGGCUUGGAAAGUGAGUAGAAAGACGUUUGCUCUGAGGAAAGCACACGGAGGGGGCACUUCAGGUCAUUGGGGUCCGAAAGAUCAUGGUUCAGGGUGACUGCGGGUAACAGGUAAGGGACGAGGGGCCAGGCAGGUGAUCACAAUAACAAAAACUAACCAUUCCAAGCAUUUACGUGCCACAACGAUGAGGCUGAAUAAGCGGGGGCCAGCUGAACCCGGACUAGACGGUCUGCUGCCGAGUUAAUGGGGAGCCACGGAGCCCACAAUCUGGGGGGACGGAGGCAGCAACAGGCAGGCCCAAAGGAAAGAUGUGCAGGGACUUCAACAAGAACAGAGGCAGGACGGGGCGUGGGAAGGAAGGGACCUGACCAGACUAAAUGGGCUGAAUGUAUCAGAGGUAAAAUGAACUGGUCGUCAUUGUUACUGGAGAGAACAAACAAGGUCUGUGGUCCUGGAAAAUUCAAUAAAUA